UACGGGGGGGGCAAGCGUUAUCCGGAAUGAUUGGGCGUAAAGCGUCCGCAGGUGGCUAUGUAAGUCUGCUGUUAAAGAGUGAGGCUCAACCUCAUAAGAGCAGUGGAAACUACAUGGCUAGAGUGCGUUCGGGGCAGAGGGAAUUCCUGGUGUAGCGGUGAAAUGCGUAGAGAUCAGGAAGAACACCGGUGGCGAAAGCGCUCUGCUAGGCCGCAACUGACACUCAUGGACGAAAGCCAGGGGAGCAAACGGG
rnacentral:rRNA from 1 species